rnacentral:rRNA from 1 species
GCUUAACACCGAGAACAUACUGCUUAAAGGCAGAGCGGUGGCGAAGUGAAACGAGCCAUCACGCAUACAUAAAGUGAUUAUCAAGCAAAAUGUUUUGGGUGUUGAGCUUUGGAUAGUGGCGAACGGGUGAGUAACGCGUAGGCAAUCUGCCUUCUAGAUGGGGACAACAUCCCGAAAGGGGUGCUAAUACCGAAUGUUGUACCGUUUCCGCAUGGAGAUGAUACUAAAGGUGGCCUCUGAAUAUGCUACCGCUAGAAGAUGAGCCUGCGUCUGAUUAGCUAGUUGGAGGGGUAACGGCCCACCAAGGCUUCGAUCAGUAGCCGGUCUGAGAGGAUGAACGGCCACACUGGGACUGAGACACGGCCCAGACUCCUACGGGAGGCAGCAGUGGGGAAUCUUCCGCAAUGGACGAAAGUCUGACGGAGCAACGCCGCGUGAGUGAAGAAGGUUUUCGGAUCGUAAAGCUCUUUCGUUAGGGAC